AAAAGAAGAAUCAUCUAACCUUAAUGCAUUCAUGUGCUAUCUUCUCCGACUUCAAAUUCUU
rnacentral:sRNA from 1 species